rnacentral:ncRNA from 2 species
ACUAAAUAGACUCGUUACGGUAUGAUUGUUCUACAAUCAUUUAAAAGGGAAGUUCGGUGAAAAUCCGACGCGGUCCCGCCACUGUGACAGGGAGUAUAGUUAUAGAAUAUCCACUAUUUCUUAGGAGAUGGGAAGGGAAUAGCUGUAUGCUGAUCUGGAGUCAGGAGACCUGCCAUAACGAAGAAUACCAU